UGAUUUGGUAAGGAAGGCAUAAUGUUGUAUAAAUUUUGUGGAAUGUAACUGAAAUCAUACUUGACCUGUGUUUUGAUAUAUUGUUGAAUAUACCAGUUAUAAAUUGAAUCCUUAAAAGGUGUACAAAUCUUAUUGGUUAGCUUACAAGAGCAUUUCUGUUUUCAUAUUUUACUAGGUAAAGUACAAAGAAAUGAUAUUGUUAUAAUUUUAUGAGCCAUCACAUCAAACCGUGAUCAAUGUAAUAUGAAGUAUGGGAAAAUAAGUAACAAGAAGUGCAUGUUUAACUAAAACAGAAUGUAUGAUUCAGAGGAAAACUGUAAAAAUAAAGUAAAUAAUGUUAAAAAAAA